rnacentral:rRNA from 1 species
UACGAGAGGCGCAAACGUUAUUCGGAUUUACUGGGCUUAAAGAGUUCGUAGGCGGCGCAGAAAGUAGGGUGUGAAAGCCCUCGGCUCAACCGAGGAAUUGCGCUCUAAACUACUGUGCUCGAGGGACCUAGAGGUGAGCGGAACUGAUGGUGGAGCGGUGAAAUGCGUUGAUAUCAUCAGGAACACCAGUGGCGAAGGCGGCUACCUGGACCGGUUCUGACGCUGAGGCGCGAAAGCGUGGGUAGCAAACAGG